GACGUAGGGGCCGAGCGUUGUCCGGAGUUACUGGGCGUAAAGGGCCCGCAGGCGGCGGCCUUGGCCCGGCGUGAAAGCCCCCGGCCUAACCGGGGAAGGGCGUCGGGGACCGGGCCGCUUGAGGGCAGCAGGGGGUGGUGGAAUGCCCGGUGUAGUGGUGAAAUGCGUAGAGAUCGGGCGGAACACCCGUGGCGAAGGCGGCCACCUGGGCUGCACCUGACGCUGAGGGGCGAAGGCGUGGGGAGCGAACGGG
rnacentral:misc_RNA from 1 species